GAGGGACUGUGGUGGACCCAACAAUUAUGUUUACAUGUGUCAUAAUAUAGAAUUUAAAAAAAAAAUUAUGACAAAAGUGUCAUUUGGAGGAUUGAACCCAGGUAAGAGGUGUCAAACCCACUAAAUCACCAUCUAUGUUACUGAAUCUACGCUUUUUAAUAUACAAAAGAGCUAUUUUUCAUAAUUUAACAUGUGUCAGUUGAUCCAUCUAAUUUUUUAGUGGGUCUGCCUCUGUGGAGGGAUGAUCAAAUGGGUGAGAGUGACCAAAGAUAAACAAUAUAAUAUUAUAUAAAAUAUACUGAAUACUCUGGCAUGUUUGCUGUAAUAAAAGAUCUGAUAAUACUUUGUAUUGAACAAGAUGACUUUACAUUAAGUCCCUCACACGACUUAUAUACCCAAAGAGAAUCUCAACUACUUAGAUACAAGUCUAUCUCGAAAGUAUAUUCACAACCUGUUACAAGAAUAUUUCCCAAUAUUAUCGGACUAGGAAUAUUCAUCAUCUAUAUCCCAAU
rnacentral:lncRNA from 1 species